rnacentral:rRNA from 1 species
GACGAACGCUGGCGGCGUGCUUAACACAUGCAAGUCGAACGGUAAGGCUCCAGCUUGCUGGGGUACACGAGUGGCGAACGGGUGAGUAACACGUGGGUGACCUGCCCUGCACUUCGGGAUAAGCCUGGGAAACUGGGUCUAAUACCGGAUAGGACCGCACCGUGAGGGUGUGGUGGAAAGUUUUUUCGGUGUGGGAUGGGCCCGCGGCCUAUCAGCUUGUUGGUGGGGUAAUGGCCUACCAAGGCGGCGACGGGUAGCCGGCCUGAGAGGGUGGACGGCCACAUUGGGACUGAGACACGGCCCAGACUCCUACGGGAGGCAGCAGUGGGGAAUAUUGCACAAUGGGCGGAAGCCUGAUGCAGCGACGCCGCGUGGGGGAUGACGGCCUUCGGGUUGUAAACUCCUUUCACCAUCGACGAAGGGUUUCUGACGGUAGAUGGAGAAGAAGCACCGGCUAACUACGUGCCAGCAGCCGCGGUAAUACGUAGGGUGCGAGCGUUGUCCGGAAUUACUGGGCGUAAAGAGCUCGUAGGUGGUUUGUCGCGUCGUCUGUGAAAUUCCGGGGCUUAACUCCGGGCGUGCAGGCGAUACGGGCAUAACUUGAGUACUGUAGGGGAGACUGGAAUUCCUGGUGUAGCGGAGAUGUGCACAGAUAUCAAGAAGAACCCCGGUGGCGAAAGGCGGGUCUCUGGGCAGUAACUGACUCUGAGGAGCGAAAGCAUGGGGAGCGAACAGGAUUAGAUACCCUGGUAGUCCAUGCCGUAAACGGUGGGCGCUAGGUGUGGGUUUCCUUCCACGGGAUCCGUGCCGUAGCUAACGCAUUAAGCGCCCCGCCUGGGGAGUACGGCCGCAAGGCUAAAACUCAAAGGAAUUGACGGGGGCCCGCACAAGCGGCGGAGCAUGUGGAUUAAUUCGAUGCAACGCGAAGAACCUUACCUGGGCUUGACAUAUACAGGAUCGCGCCAGAGAUGGUGUUUCCCUUGUGGCUUGUAUACAGGUGGUGCAUGGUUGUCGUCAGCUCGUGUCGUGAGAUGUUGGGUUAAGUCCCGCAACGAGCGCAACCCUUGUCUUAUGUUGCCAGCACGUUGUGGUGGGGACUCGUAAGAAACUGCCGGGGUUAACUCGGAGGAAGGUGGGGAUGACGUCAAAUCAUCAUGCCCCUUAUGUCCAGGGCUUCACACAUGCUACAAUGGUCGGUACAGUGGGUUGCCAGUCCGUGAGGGCGAGCUAAUCCCGCAAAGCCGGUCUCAGUUCGGAUCGGGGUCUGCAACUCGACCCCGUGAAGUCGGAGUCGCUAGUAAUCGCAGAUCAGCAACGCUGCGGUGAAUACGUUCCCGGGCCU